GGGCAGUUACCAAAGUGGCCAACUGGGACUGACUGUAAAUCAGUUGCGAAAGCUUCGGAGGUUCGAAUCCUCCACUGCCCACCA
rnacentral:tRNA from 4 species